GGAAGCCGAAGACCCCGCCAGCCGUCGCCGGGGUGGUGGGGAGGCGCGUCGCCGGGGCAGGUGCCGGGCACGGGAGCUCCAUGGAGGGGAAGUGGUGUGGUGGCUUGCUCGUGAGUGGGUGGGUCGUGGAGACCGGGAGAGGAGAGGAGUAGUGCGGCCGUGGAGAGACAAAACGUUCGCGGCGACCUCCUGCUUUUCCGAACGAUAAGAAAUCAAUGACGUGGCUGGUCAGACCUACUUUAAGAUUCGUGAUUCGAUCCAAUGGUCCAUGGGACGUUCGGCCCCAAAUCCUAAAAUACAGGCGUUCGGGAGUUAUUGAUUCCGUUCGUGAGGUGCGGUUUAUCUGGCUCUAGGUGUCAUGGAUGACACACAGUAUGGGGGACCAAGGCGGCGACGUACCGCACGACACGCAGCUCCUGCUGGUGGAGUCCAAGGCCGGGUUCAGGCCUGCGACGAGGUCGUGUUCCUCACGCUGCGUUCUGGGCCAGCCUCAAGGGCGGCGGCGCUGGCGGCGACGAGCUUCAGCUCUGCAUCUAGAGCGGCGACAUCGACACGCGCGCCAGUUCAGUUCAGUGUUAAUCUCGGUCACCGAUGGUUGAGGUGUUGUGUUGUUUCUCGCUCUAGGUAGGCCCUCGUCGAUCUUGCCUUUAGCAUUGAGCUGCAGGGCUGGCGGCGGCAUUUGGGGUUGGAGAUGGCAUGAGAUGCAGAGCUCCUUGCGCCACUCUCUUUACAAAGACUAUACAAAAGGAUCAGCAAAGGAGGACUCAAGUUUGCAACCACCACAGAGAUAAGGCUAUGGAACAUUAGUGCGUGGCUGUUCUGUGCAAUUUUUCUCGCAUCAAGGUAUGCCUCCGUCUCACUGGGCCAGGGCUCGACUUGCCUACCACAUAUUUGUUUUGUUUGCUGCAGUGUUGUAAGAUUGGAGUGUGUUGAGUAUGCAAUCUUGAUUCCAGGAAAAAAAGAUUAUGCAGUCUAUCGCACAUGUUUGGUUUGGAGGGGGCCUGUAGAUGAUGGUUAUGAUUUUGUUUCCGUUCGGUGAUUUAUUCAAAUGAUUCAGAGUAAAUCCGAAGCCAUUUGUUGCCUCUUGAAUUUCUGGUUCUACCUCAUGCAAAAAAUCUCUCAUGGUUCUACUUCUACCUUAUGUAGAAAAGCAAAUAUUAUAUGUUGAUGAGCUUGUUGCUGUUUGGUACUGACCAUAUUAGUUCCCUAGGCUUGUAAAACAAAAAACUUCAUUUCUACCCUAUGAUUACGUGUCAAAGAUGUUUUGUAGAUUGCAAGUUUGAUUUCUUUUUCUUCAACAUGGUUGAUUUAGUUUCUCACCUUGCUGAAAAAUUCAGGUUGGAAUGUUGCCGGUCCAGCCUAUGCAGAUAAUGUAUCUGUUAUAAUGUGAUCAUGACAGAAAGUUAUUUAUUUGUUAUAUACCUGCAGCUCACUUUGUUCACUUCCACAGCACCAUUUCAUUUUUUGACAGUGGGUUAGACAAGUGUGGUUUUCAGGUGUAGUUGCCUAUUAGUUUUUUUUUAGUUUUCCUGUCUCGGUUUCUUCCAGCCUAUAAGUUAUACUUAGUUUGAUUACUGCAUCUACAGUUUAUUUCUGCUUCUACUUCUAUUUCUACUAUAUUUCUGUAUUUACAUUUGAAUUUCUGUACCUACUUUAUUUGUGCUUCUACUUUUUUCUGCACCUACAGUUUCAGUGCUUUAUCUGCUCGUGGAGCUAUGGCUGUUGCAUUGGGCUAAGAUUUGAUUGCUUGCAGUAUGUCAAGGUGUAGGUGCAGACUCAUUGUUGAUAUUGAAUACUGGAGUAAGAAUGAUGAUCAAUGCUCUAAUGAACUUGCAUGAUGUAGCAUUACUAUUAGGAUAUAGCGUUAGGCACAUACUUUUUUUGACAGUGGGUAGACAAGUAUGCUUUCAGGUGUACUUGCCUAUUGUUUUUUUUGUUUUCCUGUGUCGAUUUCUCUUUUACUGUAAAGCAAAGGCUGACUGUUAGUAUUUGUCGAGUCGAGAGUUUUUUUACUUGGAAGAUCACAACAUUGCCAAUAGAAGAAUGAGUUUUAUAGCAAAUCAGGUUCAGACUUCUAUCUAAUUUCUUGGUUACAUCACCAUGAUGCUUGGAAUAUAAUUAAGACUUUGGGCCCACUGAACAUUAGAAGCUGCAUGGAGGAUGAGAUCAUCUAUGCCAGUGAUGGGAAGCGCACUGUGAUUGUGAGUAUCUGUAUAGAUCACAUUAAUCUACCAUGCUCACUAUCCAGUUACGCCACGCGCAAAUACCAUUGGCAGUGUAUUUCAACUAUGUGUAAUUGGUCGGCUAUAUCACAGCAGUGUACCAGUGUCUUGUGUUGGUGCUUGUCCAAUCAAACAUAGUUAUGUAACUGACAUCAUUUUGUCUUGUCUACCCAUGUCUUUUGUCUAGGCUGUAACACUAGCUGCAUACUACCUAUCUUUUUUAACCUGGCCAUGUAAGACACUUUGUUUUUAUCCAUGUUCAGUGCUGCUAUAUAGAAUCGAUGUUUUAUUUCCUCUUGCAUUCUGAAAGAUUGCCUUGGUUCGUACUGUUUAAGAGUGAUAUAUAAGAUGAGGGUUAUUCAGUAGAAUUUAUAUGCUUGGGAAAGGUUUUGAUAGAAAUCAGUGGAUGGUAACCAUGUCGUAGUGUGAUGUAAAUGCCAUUUGAAUCUUGAUGGUGGUAACCUGCUAUCUUUUCCUCUUUAUUGCUGACAUUUUGGUCUCUCAGAAUAUUUUAAUGUCAUUUGAAUCCAGAUAAUUUUGUUACUCAUGCAUAGAGCAUUUGCAUCUGAAAGGUGGCAUGCGUGAUUGCAACCAAUCUUACAUGUGUUUGUAUUGUUGUUUGAGCAGGAGCUUUUCAUCUAAGGAACUGCAAUGGCCAAAUCUCUUGUGACCGAUGACCCAACGGAGCCUUUUUUUGGGCGUGAACUGGUCACCUUAUGGUUCUAACUGGGAUGCAUGCUUUGUUGCAUGCUUAAAACACUAUUAUUGUAUCUGGCAUCAUAUCCACAUUAGCUUACUCCCUCUUCUGAACAUUGUAUUUUUUCCAUAUGAAAACCGAUUUAAGUUAUUCUACUAUCUGUAAUACAAUUCACAUUGCAUUGACAUCUACAUCUCCUACUUACUCA